AUUGAACGCUGGCGGCAGGCUUAACACAUGCAAGUCGAGCGGGGUGAUGGUGCUUGCACUAUCACUUAGCGGCGGACGGGUGAGUAAUGCUUAGGAAUCUGCCUAUUAGUGGGGGACAACAUCUCGAAAGGGAUGCUAAUACCGCAUACGUCCUACGGGAGAAAGCAGGGGAUCACUUGUGACCUUGCGCUAAUAGAUGAGCCUAAGUCGGAUUAGCUAGUUGGUGGGGUAAAGGCCUACCAAGGCGACGAUCUGUAGCGGGUCUGAGAGGAUGAUCCGCCACACUGGGACUGAGACACGGCCCAGACUCCUACGGGAGGCAGCAGUGGGGAAUAUUGGACAAUGGGGGGAACCCUGAUCCAGCCAUGCCGCGUGUGUGAAGAAGGCCUUAUGGUUGUAAAGCACUUUAAGCGAGGAGGAGGCUCUUUUGGUUAAUACCCAAGAUGAGUGGACGUUACUCGCAGAAUAAGCACCGGCUAACUCUGUGCCAGCAGCCGCCGCAGA
rnacentral:rRNA from 1 species